rnacentral:rRNA from 1 species
CUACGUAGGUGGCAAGCGUUGUCCGGAAUUACUGGGUGUAAAGGGCGUGUAGGCGGGGCUGCAAGGCAGAUGUGAAAUUCCCUGGCUUAACCCCGGAACUGCAUAUGAAACUGUGUCUCUUGAGUGCUGGAGAGGAAAGCGGAAUUCCUAGUGUAGCGGUGAAAUGCGUAGAUAUUAGGAGGAACACCAGUGGCGAAGGCGGCUUUCUGGACAGUAACUGACGCUGAGGCGCGAAAGCGUGGGUAGCGAACAGGAUUAGAUACCUUGGUAGUCCACGCCGUAAACGAUGGAUACUAGGUGUAGGAGGUAUCGACCCCUUCUGUGCCGGAGUUAACACAAUAAGUAUCCCACCUGGGGAGUACGGCCGCAAGGUUGAAACUCAAAUGAAUUGACGGGG